UCUAACCUACGUAGGCUGCCAUGAGAUAUUAUAUUAUUAUAUUGGACAGGACCAACAUUUUACCUUAAUCUAAUUGUUUAUUUACAAAACUGUCAAAUGGUGGUAAAAUUUCAAACUCUUCAGAGUGUGCCAAAGCGCUACCUUCCUACUGAUUGCAAGUGUGAGCGCUGGUCCCAGCGUCUUGCAUCCGUCUGCCACCAGGAAGCUGUCUGUGGAAACAAGGGCAUCUACAUAUUCCACUCACAACAGCAGAGCUAGAAUUCACACUCAGAAACACUGUCCACCGAAGAAAAGAGCUUCAGAGUGACAGAAGAGAGCACGCUGAACAGGGUCUUCAGGGUUCCGCACUUCACAGACGUUCUCAGUCGCAGGAGCCGGCGUUUGCCUGAAAGUUCGGGUGGACACACUGUACUGAGGACAGACUGGGGUCACGAGCAAAAUCCGAAGUCCAUACAUGGAAGGGAGCCCGGGAGUCCCCAGCUCCCCGCUGCAGCUCAGCUCAGGAGCGCUGCCAUCCAGAGAAGAGGCGGCGUCGGCACUGGAGACGGGCGCGGA